UAAAUACCAGACCCGAUAUAAGUUAUAGUGUGAAUUAUUUGAGUAGAUUUCAAGAUUGUUGUAAUGAGACACAUUUUAAAUAUGCUUUGCGAAUAUUGAAAUAUUUGUACCGGACUAGAGAUUUAAGAUUAGAUUAUAAAAGGAAUGAAAAGUGUGAAACGAUAGAUUGUUAUGUGGACGCUGAUUGGGCAGGAGAUCAUUUAGAUAGGAAAUCGACUUCUGGAUAUGUAAUUAGAUUGUAUGGAAAUGUAAUUGGUUGGAAGUCUAAAAAAACAAAGGUGUUGAAUUAAUGUCUAUUAGGGAAAUUAUGAAAAUCUUCAAUGUAACUCUAGACGAUAACCCUGUAAAAAUUUAUGAGGAUAACUCUG
rnacentral:misc_RNA from 1 species